CCACAGGUUGAGAACCGCUGUUGGAGGUAGCCCGGGUUCAGAUGAUGCUGGACUACAACUCCCAACAUGCUCCGGGCUCGCUAAGGCUUAUGGGAGUUGAGGUUCAGCGGCAUUUGGAGGGGACGGGGACACACAUGCGCGCGCGCGCGACAGCGGCUUGCGACGGGCGGGUGCCCUUCAAAGGGAGCUUCCUGCUUUAAUUCCCUUUUGUCUUGCAAGGCUUUCUUGACAUGUUUGGGGCGGGGUGGGUUCUUUUCGUGAGGUGUCUGGUAUUUAUUAUUCUCUUGAAUGGGAGGGCAGGCAGAUAUGGCACACCAGGUUCCAAAAGGCUAUGUGAUGCUUAGCUGGUUAAGUUUUAUUCUGUCUUUUAAAGUUAUUACUGAUGGCACGUUUGCAGCUCACUUCGGCAACCGCUUUGUUGUGUGACCCCAACGCUGCAUAUAUACGUCGAUCGCGAUGACUGGGGGAACCUGAGACCGAUUAUGGUCGAUCGCAGCGCUCCUGGGGGGACGUGAGGGAGAUGCUGCCCUGCCGCCUCUGCUGCACUCAGCGCUGGCAGUAGGGUGGAAUGGGAUGCUGCCUGAGGGAGGCGGGGGGGGGGGAGAAAGAAGCAGGGAAGAAGAAUCAUGGAGCAAGGAAGGAAAGGAAGGAGUUAACACACAGAGAGUGGGGGGACAGGGAAUGAGAAUCACGCAGCAAGCAAGGAAGCCAGCCCAUUGGUCCCAUCACGGUGCUUGUGCCGGCGUUAAUAACAAGCUGGCUAGCGCCAUACAAGCCGAGGCAUCCUAUUGGCCCUUGCGCGUUCUGAUGUUUCUUGGGGGCGGGAGCUUAUAGAGUACGUGUUUAGACGCCAGCUGGGAGGGAAAGCGAGACAAACACAUAGCUGUCAACUUUCAGAUUUGAAAAUAAGGGAUCAGCAGCCUCGAAAAUAAGGGAUCAAAUUUGAAAAUAAGGGAUCAGCAGCCUCAAGAAUAAGGGAUCAGCAGCCUCACCUGUCCCGGGGACAGUCAACGGGAUAUCUAACAAUCCAGGAUAGCAGCUGGAAUAAGGGAAUUUCCCGCCAAAAAAGGGAAGGUUGACAGCUAUGGACAAAUAUCAGCUGCACCUGGAGUGCAGCCAAAGGCGAUUGUGUGGGGGAGGGUGUGUGUGUAGCUGUUUGUGGCACUGGUGUGAAAACUUGACUCUUAUGACAUUCUCUUUGCUUUUAGCGAGAAUCUCAAGAUCCGAAUGUGCUGCCAGUGACAUAACAGCUGUAAUUAAAGGAUUCCUUUGACAAUCAACGAUCAUUUCAGUAUUAUAAUUCAAUUGGGGGCGGGGCUUGCACAAGCUCUACUUCUCCCAUUGCCCUAAAACGCAUCAACUGAGGAGCGUGCAUUUAUGAGUAAUUCCUUGGACUACUUUGAAAUGGACAUAAAUC